GGGAACACACGAGAAGUAUAAACCAAGUGCAAUCGAUAUCAAAAGGAAGAGAUUUCUUCUGUUUGGGGACAUGAGGAGUAAGGAACAUCACUAUCAUCCACGUAAGUGAGUGUGCCUGCAGCAUGCAUUCAUUACUGCAUCUGAUGGAAGCACAAAGGGAGAGACAAAGAUGCAGAGAACAAUGCUCAGAAUGGCUGUAUUGCACACAAUCCUCUUCUGAGGCCCCAUUCCUGAAAGAAAGCAGGCCAUGCUGGUCUCAGUAUUUGCAUGGAAGGAUAUCUGCCAGUGAAUGAGUCUGUUGAAAUCACCACACCAAAUUCAACAUUAAGGGCCAACCCUGACCACAGCUGAGCCGUGUGAAGAGGCUGACAGCGGCGUGGCCACCACCCAGGAUGGAGAGAAAGGCACUGUGAGGUGUUAAUGGAAAAAUCCAACUUCCUUUUCUUCCAAAGAUGAUGACUGAAACCAAAGUGGAGCUUUCCCUGCCUUCAGACUCAGACUGGAACUGCACCGUUGGCUCUCCUGGGUGGGUCUCCAGCUUGCUGACCACAGACCUUGAGACUUCUCAGCCUUUAGAAUCAUGGAAGCCAAUUCCUUAUAAUAAUAUAUAUCCUUUUCCUAGUCUGUGGACUUUUCCCAGCUCCAGACAGACAACCUUCUAUAAACUCCAGGAUGCUCCAUCAAUGCCGUCUGGACUCUACAGAUUUUGACCCUGAAGUAAAGUAGGAAAGGCUAUGAGGACAUGUUAAAUGUUGUACUACCGCCUGAAGCCUUUUCUUCUUUAAAUUUUUCAACAAGAGUUGAAUGCACACGUGGAGCUUAAUUGGACAACAACUUUUCUCCUCUUCUGUGGGAUCCCGUCAGUGCUUUAAGCAAUGAGAAGGCAGCUCAUUUCCAAGUUUGUGUGGUAAAUUUGGGGCAAGUGGGAGAAAAGAAAGAAAGGCUGAGUCUUAUAGGGUGUGAUUUGGUUCUAGACAUGCUUAUGUUACUUUUUAUAAGAUUAUCCAUUUGACUAGAUUUCUUUCCUGCUGACAAAAGAGGCAAUUUCUACAUAUAAAAUAAAUCUGAUUAAAACUCUUUCUCUGUUCCUGUCAAGGUAAUAGAUGCAGACCCCAGGAACAGAAUAUAUUUGGA
ensembl:lncRNA LINC02997 long intergenic non-protein coding RNA 2997